ensembl:lncRNA
AUGUCUGUAUGUGGGAUGACGGGACCAGGGCUUGGUUUGUCUGUGUUCCUGUUGGCUCUGCUUCAUCUUCAAUGCUCAGCCCAGAACAACUACACUACGCUCCCAAAUAACAUAUCAGUGGCUGUUGGCAAGCCUGCUGCAUUCCAGUGUGGUGUGUCCCCUCCUAGACAACUCAACUUCACUCUCUAUGGUAGCCAUAGAAACAUAACCCUCAUCUGCCCAGGAGACCACACUGAGUACCUGGCUGCCCAGUCAAUAAAAGGGUACUGUGAUAACACAGGUAAGGAGCUCUUUGCAAUAUGGCUUAUCAGCGGGACGUCCCGCUCUGACAACAACACACGUGUAGUAUGUGAGAGCUCAGGACGACCACUAGUGGAUGGAUACCUCUGGGUGUACGGUAAAUACAUCUCUCUAAUAUACCUUCCCUGAGCAUAUGGUAUUUGACGUUGUCAUCAUUAGCUAACCCUAAUCUAUCUGUCUGUCUGUCUGUCUGUCUGUCUGUCCUGUCUAUCCUGUUUGUCUGUCUGUCUGUCCUCUUCGGAUACAUUUUCAGAGGACGGCAGUUACUUUGCCACCCUCAUUGGCUGUGUCAUUGGUGGUUUCUUUGGUAUCCUCAUCAUCUUUGGUCUGUCAUACACUAUGCUCAGGAGAUCUGAGAGGCUCCAGCUCUGUUUCAGUAAGUACCUCUCUCCUUCAGCCCUAACAGAGGAUGGACCAGAGAAUGAUGCCCCGCGACGUUCAUAUGGUUCUCUUCUCUUUUCUGUGUUUGUGUCAACAGGGGGAAAAGAUCGUGAGAAUGACGUCACCACAAUGGUGACAAAGGAUUAAACACACACCUUUCAAUACUGUUGGAUUCACUUAUUCAACUUCUUAAGGUGACACUUUGUGGGGGGUUUUUGCAUAUGCAGAAUUUGUAUUGUAAUUUCUAUUUUGUUUUACUGUUCUAUUAUUUGCUUAUCUAGCAGUAUGCAGUAUCUGAUACUUGCAUCAGUUUCCUGUGUUUUUUAUCUUAUUAAAUGUAGCUAAACAUAGGAAGUUAAACUAAAUGUUGCAUUUUGAAAACUUCUUACCAAAGUCCCAUAUAUCAUAUUCUCUCCCAUAAGCUUUUAGAUUUUUUUUGCCUUGGUUUGUUCAGUCACAGUUCUACUAUUUGUCCAACAGAGAGCAGCCAUGACAGUACAGAAACUGAACUUCAAUGAUGCUGGGAUACUACUAAAGCAUUUGAUCAUGUACUAUAAUUGUGCGUCUCUGACUUUUCCUCUACUCUGGAAUACUGAAGUUAAUGUUCCAUUUUUAUACUGUGUUUUAUAGCUCCAUUAAUUGUUUUACAGUUAUGCUGGCAGCCAGCUAACACCUGUUUUCACUGCAUAAACAAUAGAGAGCAGGACAUCUGAGUAGCUGUCUAAAGUGUUCCAGUGGAGGAUCAGUAGAGGUGGUGCGAUGUUGACUCAGCUGGCCUGCUAUGCUCUGGUAUGACUCUGACACAGACACAACUCACAGCACUUCAAAUCCCACAAUAUGCAUUGGUCAUUUGUUUAGAAUUACAUACAUUCUUUGAGAUGUAUUUAUAUUUUUUAUGCAUGCUCCCCAUCUUCAGAGUGGCUUGUCAGAGGAUAUGGUCAAAUGCACAAAGACCCUUAGAUGGUUUGUUUAGUGACAAAUAUGCCUUCUAACAAGUAAGAGUAGUGUACGUUUUGAUGUUCCAGCACGAGCGUGCUUGUGUCAGUGCAUGCAGGCGUGCUUACAUACCACUCUUUUAUUUAAGUCUAAGCUAUGCACCGGAGUUGUGUCAGUGAUGAUGCAUUCAUAUAUUAUGUUCCAAAUGUAUUGGGGCAGUGAAACUUUUUGUUGUUUUGGCUCUGUACUCCAGCACUUUGGAUUUGAAAUGAUUCAAUGACUAUGAUGUUAAAGUGCUGACUGUCAGCUUUAAUUUGAGGUUAUUUUCAUCCAUAUCAGGUGAACCGUUUAGAAAUGACAGCACUUUUUGUACAUAGCCCCCCCCCCCCAUUUGGACAAAUGCACUUAUAUGUGUGUUAAAGUAGUAGAAAGUUUAGUAUUUGGUCCCAUAUUCAUAGCACACAAUGACUACAUCAAGCUUGUGAUUCUACAAAUUUGUUGAAUGCAUUUGUUGUUUGUUUUGGUUGUGUUUCAGAUUAUGUUGUGCCCAAUAUAAAUGAAUGGUAAAUCAUGUAUUGUGUCAUUUUGGAGUCACUUUAAUUGUAAAUAAGAAUAAAAUAUGUUUUUAAAAAUUUCUGCAUUAAUGUGGAUGCUACCAUGAUUACAGAUAAUCCUGAAUGAAUCGUGAAUAAUGAUGAAUGAGAAAGUUACAGACACAAUCCAUUACUUACCAUUCUUAUGUAUUGGGCACAAAAUAAUCUGAAACACAACCAAAACAAACAGCAAAUGCAUUCAACAAAUUUGUAGAGUCACAAGAUUGAUGUGGUCAUUGCGUGCUAUGAAUAUGGGACCAAAUACUUAACUUUUUACUACUUUAAUACACAUACAAGUAAAUAUGUCCUAAUACUUUUGGUGCCUUAAAAUGGGGGAACUAUGUACAAAAAGUGCUGUAAUUUCUAAAUGGUUCACCCGAUAUGGAUAAAAAUAUCCUCAAAUUAAAUAUGACAGUCUGCACUUCAACCUCACAGACAUGAUAUAAUUUCAAAUCCAAAGUGCUGGAGUACAGAGCCAAAACAACAAAAAUUGUGUCACUGUCUCAAUACUAUUUUAAAGAGUUGUUGCAAAGAAGAGAGCAGGGUUUUUGUGGAGGGAAUUUCUUAUGUUUGUGUUGUACCUGUGUGUCAGCUUUACCCUUUGGAUAGCCCAUCCUGACUGUCUCUUGUGUGAGCCUAUGACAACCCUUUCACUGUGGCCACUGGUUCUGUAGACUUUGUAGCUGAGUUAUGGGUAAAGUACCCAAUUGUCAUACUUGAGUAAAAGUAAAGAUACCUUAAUAUAAAAGGACUCAAGUAAAAGUGAGUCACCCAGUAAAAUCCUACUUGAGUAAAAGUCUAAAAGUAUUUGGUUUUAAAUAUACUUAAGUAUCAAAAGUCAAUUUAAUCUCUAAAAUGUACUUAAGUAUCAAAAGUAAAAGUAUAAAUAAUUUCAAAUUCCUUUUAUAAAGCAAACCAGACGGCACUCAUACUUUUAUUAUAUAUAUUUUUAACAGAUAGCCAGGAGCACCCUCUUACACUCAGACGUCAUUUACAAACAGAGCAUUUUUGUUUAGUCAGUCUGCCAGAUCAGAGGCAGCACAUAUGACCAGGGACGUUCUCUUGAUAAGUGCGUGACUUGGACCAUUUUCCUGUACUGCUAAGCAUUCAAAAUGUAAUGAGUACUUUUGAGCUACUGUAUUCUCUGUGCAUGCUUGGGUUGGGUGUUUAAGGGUAUAUUAGUAAGAUUUAUACAUACUUUGCAUAUGUAAUAUAUUUUUUUAUUAAUUUAGUACUUCUUUUUUUUACCCUUGUUCCUGUGAUAUCCAAUUGGUAGUUACCGUCUUGUCCCAUCGCUGCAACUCCUGUACGGACUCGAGUGUCAGGGAAAAUGUAUGUAGUAAAAACUACAUGAUUUUCUUUAGGAAUGUAGUGAAGUAAAAGUAUACAUUGUCAAAAAUAUACAUAAAUAGUAAAGUAAAGUACAGCUAUAAAAGAAAAAACUAUGUAGGUAGUACUUUAAAGUAUUUUACAUCACUGGGUAUGCAGGUAUGCAGUCUUCCAAUCAAUUAGUUUGCACUAUAUGGUCAGUUUUGAACAUUGUGGAAAAGUUGUGUUAUCAUCAGUAAUAAAUAUCUUUAAACUAUUCUGGUUGCAUGGAAUGCUGUUAUGCUUGAAAGUACAACAAUGGAACACACAUAUGUUGGCCCCAAUACACACACAGACUUGGACAGCACAGAAUGGACUUUAUCUCACAGUUUUAUCAGUCCUUCAUGGUGGUAAUCACCUCAGUCUCAUGUCAGGUCUUCAUAUGUCACUGAUGGUCCCUCUAACUAGGAUAUAGCCACUCACAUUAUUGUAUUAUCACACGUGAAGAACUGAAUACGUAUUCCUCCGCAGAUGCCGCGGGGAUAUAAAUAGUCUCAGAUAACAGCACGUCACCAUGCCGAUAAUGUGCAGAGGUUCAGUCAUGUGUCCCCUCUGAG